rnacentral:rRNA from 1 species
GACGAACGCUGGCGGCGCGCCUAACACAUGCAAGUCGAACGAGAGAGAGGGAGCUUGCUUCCUCGAUCGAGUGGCGAACGGGUGAGUAACGCGUGAGGAACCUGCCUCAAAGAGGGGGACAACAGUUGGAAACGACUGCUAAUACCGCAUAAGCCCACGGGUCGGCAUCGACCAGAGGGAAAAGGAGCAAUCCGCUUUGAGAUGGCCUCGCGUCCGAUUAGCUAGUUGGUGAGGUAACGGCCCACCAAGGCAACGAUCGGUAGCCGGACUGAGAGGUUGAACGGCCACAUUGGGACUGAGACACGGCCCAGACUCCUACGGGAGGCAGCAGUGGGGAAUAUUGGUCAAUGGGCGAGAGCCUGAACCAGCCAAGUAGCGUGAAGGAUGAAGGUCCUACGGAUUGUAAACUUCUUUUAUACGGGACGAAAAGGAUCGUGAUAAUACCAUGGUCUGCUGACGGUACCUGAAGAAUAAGCACCGGCUAACUACGUGCCAGCAGCCGACGG